rnacentral:rRNA from 1 species
AACGAACGCUGGCGGCAUGCCUAACACAUGCAAGUCGAACGAGACCUUCGGGUCUAGUGGCGCACGGGUGCGUAACGCGUGGGAAUCUGCCCUUGGGUUCGGGAUAACGGUUGGAAACGACUGCUAAUACCGGAUGACGUCUUCGGACCAAAGAUUUAUCGCCCAGGGAUGAGCCCGCGUCGGAUUAGCUAGUUGGUAGGGGAAAAGCCUACCAAGGCGACGAUCCGUAGCUGGUGUGAGAGGAUGAGCAGCCACACUGGGACUGAGACACGGCCCAGACUCCUACGGGAGGCAGCAGUGGGGAAUAUUGGACAAUGGGCGAAAGCCUGAUCCAGCAAUGCCGCGUGAGUGAUGAAGGCCUUAGGGUUGUAAAGCUCUUUUACCCGGGAUGAUAAUGACAGUACCGGGAGAAUAAGCCCCGGCUAACUCCGUGCCAGCAGCCGCCGUAA